rnacentral:rRNA from 1 species
AUGCAUCAACAAGGGUUCCGAAGCGGUGACGCGAAAGGGGCCGAAAAUUCACCGAGUUUUUCACAACAAAAUGAUGUGGAGGCGGUGAUAUCUCAUAAAAAACAGAAAAGGAUGCCAAUUUACAUGUUAUCGCACAAGGUGAUAAAUGCUUACAUGUAUUGCAUGCUGGCUCACAACUAUCUACGAGACAGGGCGGGUGAAAAGUUACAUAUUAUUAGCACGUUCGUUUCUCGCCAGAUGAAAGAAGACGGAGAAAAAGACAUAGACCCAUCAAAAUAUCGUCACUUCUUACAACAUGUUAAUACUUAUCUACAACAAGAUAUGUUGUUCAUGCCAAUUAACAUGCCUCGGACUCAUUGGUAUCUGGCAGUCGUCAAUGCCAAAAAAAUGUGA